UGCAAUGAAGGAUAAACCCGUCCGAAAGACGGGGGCACAAAGCAACCGGCCUACCGCAGUGUUCACUGUACGGCAGCGAGGCUGCCGGG
rnacentral:ncRNA from 1 species